CCUACGGGGGGCUGCAGUGGGGAAUAUUGGACAAUGGGGGCAACCCUGAUCCAGCCAUGCCGCGUGUGUGAAGAAGGCCCUCGGGUUGUAAAGCACUUUCAGUGAGGAAGAACGCCUGGUGGUUAAUACCCAUCAGGAAAGACAUCACUCACAGAAGAAGCACCGGCUAACUCCGUGCCAGCAGCCGCGGUAAUACGGAGGGUGCGAGCGUUAAUCGGAAUUACUGGGCGUAAAGCGCGCGUAGGUGGCUUGAUAAGCCGGUUGUGAAAGCCCCGGGCUCAACCUGGGAACGGCAUCCGGAACUGUCAAGGUAGAGUGCAGGAGAGGAAGGUAGAAUUCCCGGUGUAGCGGUGAAAUGCGUAGAGAUCGGGAGGAAUACCAGUGGCGAAGGCGGCCUUCUGGACUGACACUGACACUGAGGUGCGAAAGCGUGGGUAGCAAACAGGAUUAGAUACCCCUGUAGUC
rnacentral:rRNA from 1 species